GGGUCAUUUCAAAGAGGGCUUUUGGGACUCAAACCAGGAGCUCUUGACGCUGUGACCGAAAAUUGACCCUCUCCACGGGAUGCAGCGCGCACUCACUAGUGCCGUGCCUCCCCGAGGAGAGACAUGG